UACAGAGGGUGCGAGCGUUGCCCGGAUUUAUUGGGCGUAAAGGGCGCGUAGGCGGCCACGCACGUCCGUUGUGAAAUCGCCCGGCUCAACUGGGCGGGGUCAGCGGAUACGGUGUGGCUCGAGCAAGCUAGGGGGCAAUGGAAUUCCCGGUGUAGUGGUGGAAUGCGUAGAUAUCGGGAGGAACACCAGUGGCGAAGGCGGUUGCCUGGAGCUUUGCUGACGCUGAGGCGCGAAAGCGUGGGGAGCGAUCCGG
rnacentral:rRNA from 1 species